AUGACCAUGCCAAGUUGAAAAGUGCUGUACUUGUCCGAUCACAGAAGUUAAGCAUGUUCCGGUGCAGACAGUACUUGGGAGGAUGUCCACCUGGGAACACGCUUGUCG